CUUAUUUGCGUAUUUCUUAUUACUUUAGUGGGAAGCAUUAUUUAGACUUUAAAACAAAUCACUGGCUGCAGUUGACAUUUUUUCAGUCAUGAGGGUGACACAACUGGCCAAAGCAAACAUCUUAGAGCCAGGACGAGCUACGCUUUUGGCCUGGCAACACAAGGCUGAUCUGGACGUAGACGCUAUUCAAAAGAUGUGCCAAGGAUUAACUGAAAUUGCAGCCUGAGUGUGAUUUAUAAGCCAUUCUGCGUCAUUUGACUGUGACAGGCUCUGACAAAUUAAUAUGCCUUCAGCCCUCUCCACUACUCUUUAAGAUGCUGGACCUAGUAGCACCGAUCAUGAAAGUGACCGUGGGCCCCAAAGACACAUCCGACAGUCCGUAAAAUGCUGGGAGGUUUUCUGGACACACCUGUUCAACAGCUCUCAGGGACCCAUGCACAGGACCCAGUGCGAAGGCCAAAAACUAUAGGCCUGUGUGAAGUUAUUUGAUGUAACGCCAUCACAGAGCACUUUUUCCAGCCCAUUAAAUCCCUAUAAAUACACUGGAGUCUGUGGAUGUGGAAAGGUUGAACCAG